AUUUCACCAAUUCAGUUUAGUUUAGAGAUACAGCGCGGAAACCACCAGCCCAUCGGUCCACCCAGACCGUGCCGGCCAGUGAUCGCCCCAUUCACACACACUAGAUUAGUUUAGAGA